AUACGGAGGACGCGAGCGUUAUCCGGAUUCAUUGGGUUUAAAGGGUGCGCAGGCGGCCGUGCAAGUCAGCGGUGAAAGCCCGGGGCUCAACCCCGGAAGUGCCGUUGAUACUGCAUGGCUGGAAUGCGGUCGAGGCGGGCGGAACGUGGCGUGUAGCGGGGAAAUGCGUAGAAAUGCCACAGAAAGCCGCUAGCGGAGGCAGCUCGCCAGGCCUGCAUUGACGCUCGGGCACGAAAGCGUGGGGAUCGAACAGGAUUAGAUACCCUGGUAGUCCACGCCGUAAACGAUGGGCGCUCGUCGUCGGCGGCAGACAGUCGGCGGCCAAGCGAAAGCGAUAAGCGCCCCACCUGGGGAGUACGGUCGCAAGGCUGAAACUCAAAUGAAUUGACGGGG
rnacentral:rRNA from 1 species